UGCGCAGCCCGGUAAUACCGGCAGCCCGAGUGAUGGCCGAUCUUAUUGGGCCUAAAGCGUCCGUAGCUGGCCGCGCAAGUCCAUCGGAAAAUCCACCCGCCCAACGGGUGGGCGUCCGGUGGAAACUGCGUGGCUUGGGACCGGAAGGCGCGACGGGUACGUCCGGGGUAGGAGUGAAAUCCCGUAAUCCUGGACGGACCGCCGAUGGCGAAAGCACGUCGCGAAGACGGAUCCGACAGUGAGGGACGAAAGCUAGGGUCUCGAACCGGAUUAGAAACCCUGGUAGUCC
rnacentral:rRNA from 1 species